UACGUAGGGUGCAAGCGUUGUCCGGAAUUAUUGGGCGUAAAGAGCUCGUAGGCGGCUUGUCGCGUCUGCUGUGAAAACCCGAGGCUCAACCUCGGGCUUGCAGUGGGUACGGGCAGGCUAGAGUGUGGUAGGGGAGAUUGGAAUUCCUGGUGUAGCGGUGGAAUGCGCAGAUAUCAGGAGGAACACCGAUGGCGAAGGCAGAUCUCUGGGCCACUACUGACGCUGAGGAGCGAAAGCAUGGGGAGCGAACAGG
rnacentral:rRNA from 1 species